GAUGAAUGCUGGCGGCGUGCCUAAUACAUGCAAGUCGAGCGAACAGACGAGAGUGCUUGCACUCUCUGACGUUAGCGGCGGACGGGUGAGUAACACGUGGGUAACCUACCUAUAAGACUGGGAUAACUUCGGGAAACCGGAGCUAAUACCGGAUAAUAUUUAGCUUCGCAUGAAGCAAUAGUGAAAGACGGUUCUGCUGUCACUUAUAGAUGGACCCGCGGUGUAUUAGCUAGUUGGUGAGGUAACGGCUCACCAAGGCAACGAUACAUAGCCGACCUGAGAGGGUGAUCGGCCACACUGGGACUGAGACACGGCCCAGACUCCUACGGGAGGCAGCAGUAGGGAAUCUUCCGCAAUGGACGAAAGUCUGACGGAGCAAUGCCGCGUGAGUGAAGAAGGUUUUCGGAUCGUAAAACUCUGUUGUAAGGGAAGAACAAGUACGUUAGUAACUGAACGUACCUUGACGGUACCUUACCAGAAAGCCACGGCUAACUACGUG
rnacentral:rRNA from 1 species